rnacentral:rRNA from 1 species
AUACGGAGGGUGCGAAGCGUUAGUUCGGAAUUACUGGGCGUAAAGCGCGUGCAGGCGGGUGGACAAGUCUGAUGUGAAAGCCCCGGGCUCAACCUGGGAAGUGCAUUGGAAACUGUUCAUCUUGAGUGCUGGAGAGGAAGGGGGAAUUCCCGGUGUAGAGGUGAAAUUCGUAGAGAUCGGGAGGAAUACCAGUGGCGAAGGCGCCCUUCUGGACGGCAACUGACGCUGAGACGCGAAAGCGUGGGGAGC